GAUGAACGCUGGCGGCGUGCCUAAUACAUGCAAGUCGAGCGAACAGACGAGGAGCUCGCUCCUCUGACGUUAGCGGCGGACGGGUGAGUAACACGUGGAUAACCUACCUAUAAGACUGGGAUAACUUCGGGAAACCGGAGCUAAUACCGGAUAAUAUAUUGAACCGCAUGGUUCAAUAGUGAAAGACGGUUUUGCUGUCACUUAUAGAUGGAUCCGCGCCGCAUUAGCUAGUUGGUAAGGUAACGGCUUACCAAGGCAACGAUGCGUAGCCGACCUGAGAGGGUGAUCGGCCACAUGGGAACGAGGACACGGACAGAACUCCUACGGGAGGCAGCAGUAGGAAAUCUUCGGCAAGGGGCGAAAGCCUGACGGAGCAACGCCGCGUGAGUGAUGAAGGUCUUCGGAUCGUAAAACUCUGUAAUUAGGAAAGAACAAAUGUGUAAGUAACUAUGCACGUCUGGACGGUACCUAAUCAAAAAGCAACGGCUAACUACGU
rnacentral:rRNA from 1 species